UGGCGAACGGGUGAGUAACACGUGGGUAAUCUGCCCUGCACUUCGGGAUAAGCCUGGGAAACUGGGUCUAAUACCGGAUAUGAGCUUCUGCCGCAUGGUGGGGGUCGGAAAGUUUUUCGGUGCAGGAUGAGCCCGCGGCCUAUCAGCUUGUUGGUGGGGUAAUGGCCUACCAAGGCGACGACGGGUAGCCGGCCUGAGAGGGUGAUCGGCCACACUGGGACUGAGACACGGCCCAGACUCCUACGGGAGGCAGCAGUGGGGAAUAUUGCACAAUGGGCGGAAGCCUGAUGCAGCGACGCCGCGUGGGGGAUGACGGUCUUCGGAUUGUAAACCCCUUUCAGUAGGGACGAAGCGCAAGUGACGGUACCUGCAGAAGAAGCACCGGCCAACUACGUGCCAGCAGCCGCGGUAAUACGUAGGGUGCGAGCGUUGUCCGGAAUUACUGGGCGUAAA
rnacentral:rRNA from 1 species